rnacentral:rRNA from 1 species
CAGCAGCCGCGGUAAAACGUAGGUGGCAAGCGUUGUCCGGAAUUAUUGGGCGUAAAGGGCUCGCAGGCGGUUUCUUAAGUCUGAUGUGAAAGCCCCCGGCUCAACCGGGGAGGGUCAUUGGGAACUGGGAAACUUGAGUGCAGAAGAGGAGAGUGGAAUUCCACGUGUAGCGGUGAAAUGCGUAGAGAUGUGGAGGAACACCAGUGGCGAAGGCGACUCUCUGGUCUGUAACUGACGCUGAGGAGCGAAAGCGUGGGGAGCGAACAGGAUUAGAUACCCGGGUAGUCCCUGUCUCUUAUAC